ensembl:lncRNA
GGGACCGAUGGCUCCGGUUCUGCUGUCACUUUCGCCGCCAGCUGUUAACUCGGAUAUAAAAUGUCAGAAAACUUAGUGUUUUAUUUGGAAGCAAAGUCCAUCAUGGACACGGUUAUUGAGGCCGCUGUCGAUCUUGUUGGAAAUUCAAAGGAAGAAGCUGCAAGGAAGGAGCAAAGUGAGAAACAAAAGACUUUGUAGAAAUGUUGUCACGAGAGGCAACGAGAAAGAUCAGCACGGUUUUCUCCCAGCUGUCGUCGCUGCUGCAGGCUGAAAACAGGACGCUGAAGAGCAGAGUGAAACAUCUGGAGAGCGAGCUGAAGGCCGUGACCGAACGCUUUGAAAACGCCAGACUGUGGAGGGAGAACGUCCUGAGCGGCAGCCCGGUUCUGUUCCAGCAGAGCGGCCUGAUCUUCACCCUGAAGCCUUUCGGGAAGCUACAAAGAAAGACGGAUAAAGAAGCAGACGGAGUCACAGAAUCAUCUCCUGCUGCCGCUGCUCAGGUGGAUCACGGACAGAAAGCAGGUACGUUUUCAUUAAAGGAAAACCUCAGCCUAAAAGUUAAAAAAAAGUUUAUUACAUGUGGUGAAUUAAGAGCCAAACUUGAACUCGUCAUAUGCACUGUCAUACAGUGACAAUAAGGGCUUUGAUUUGAUUUGAUUUGCUUUUAAAACACCCUCAAAAAACGCAUUUAAUGCUGAUUAUUAACACAGCAGCAUUCACUAGUAAAUGUACUGAAAAGUAUCUUUUAUUUCAGAUAAUAAAUCAUUGUUGUUUCUUUUUUCUGCAAACACAUUUAACAAAUCCUCUCAAAUAUAUUUAAUAAUUCUUUAGUUUCAUGCAAAAUUUGUAUUUUUUUUCUUACUUUCAAUCUAUUUUUACUGUUUUUAAUGCACUGUAUGUUUUACUGUCCAUAUCUUUUAAUGUUUACUUUUAAACCAGCACUACCAACAAAAUUUCUUUAUCUGACAGGUGAAAGCUAAUUGCAUAAUGACAAUAAAGAUUCUUGAUAUUUCAGCCACAAUAAUA